ACAAGCUCUCGAACCAACCCCGUGUGAGAAAACCCACCGACGCCUCCCCACUUCUCCUCCCUGUGAACUUCCCCAGCUUCUUCCCGGUGGCCGUCCCCAACUCCCGCCCCACCUUCUUCCCGGCGGCAGCCGCGUCGCAGACCAGUCCCAACUCCCGCCUCACCUUCUUCCCGGCGGCAGCUGGCGUCGCCGCCGUUCCCAACUCCCGCUCACCUUCUUCCCGGAGGCAGCCGGCGUCACCGCGCGCCUUCAUCCCGGCGAUAGGCCAAGUCUUCCUCCCACGCACAGCCGGAUCCCCAUCUCAACCGCGCCGCCGGGAGGGGCCGUGCCUCCACCUGCGUUACACGCCACUCGGCGUGCGCCGCCCCGCCUGGAUCCUCCCCUGCGCGCCGCCCCGGCAUGGCUCCUACCCUGAGCGCCGCCCCGGCCUGGAUCCUCCCCUGCGCGCCGCACCGCCCCGGCCUGGAUAGCCGUCCUGGUAGGCGGCGCCCAUCCUCCCAGCCAUGGGGGGCCGCAAUCGGCGAUGGCACACGAAGCGCCACCACGGCGGCUCUCCGAACCCUCGUUCCCCGCUUCCGUCGUAUCCUGGACUUCCUGAAAAGUGAAAAUUUCACGAAAAAAAUUAACAACUGCACCUUCUGCUCCAAAACACAAGCCCAGAAGCAUGCAGCCGGCGAGUCCACCUUCUGCUCCCUCGGCGGUCCACUACGUGCCGUAGAGUUUACCGCCCGGAUUACAGCCGUGCCUUGGCUGUCCAGUGCAAUUCUUCUAUGAAAACAAACUAAAUGAUCAUAGUGAGUUCAUUUCGUGUAAAAGUGAAGUUCACUCUGCAAUAAAAUAAAUUUCAUUUGUAUAAAAUGCAUGUUAUUGAAAGAGCAAUCUUGUUUUUGUUGUAUAAAAGCAUUAUCUAGCGUUUCUUUUGCUCUUGACCAUCUACCUGUCCACUAGUGUCCUUAUGGUGCUUUUUCUGUAAAGGUAAGGAGCAUUACUUGAUCGAGCCUCCUAUGUUAUAUCUAAUAUGUGGAAUGAUGAUCUGGUAAUACUCCGUGGGGAUUUCAACAAUAAACUUAAGAUUUUCACCACGUGUGGUGGCAGUGAACUCCGGCACCCUUUUCUGGGAAGUCUAGUUUCGUUGUCGUCACACAGGCUGGACUUGAUGGCGGGCGGCCACCUGUUCAUCACGGUGGCGCAACAUGCGGAAUAAGCUAGCACGUGAUGUAACCAACACGGGAGUUCACCCUGCGCUGUCCUGGGAGUCCAUGGCUUCGGCGGGUCGUUAAUGCCCAGGUCAGCCUGCUCCUCGCACGGUUGUCGCUAUGCUGGUUGCUGCUAUGCAAAAUGCUAC